CUCAUUAGGAGGAUUGUGUUGGCAGAGUCUCUUUGAGCGUGUGAAGCUGCUUCUUUAAGAGAGAGUUUCCUGCUCAUCUGCUGGCUGUGUGCAUCCUACAGCUGGCUGGCAUCAGCUCCAGGAGGCAGGCAUUAAUUGGGCUGUUCCUUUCCAUUCUGGCAAUGGGUGGUCUUCUUGGCAAGAACAAGAGGCUCUGUGUGUUCCCUAAGAAAGUUACUUUUCGUAAGACCAAGGGGAAAAAGGCAUCUGGGACUGCAGGUAUGUCCUGUGAUGCUUCAACGUGGACUGGGGAGAACCAUUUUUAUUCAGCACGCAUAGGAAGGACCCCCAGAGCCCCUGAACCUUCUCUUGCACAGUCAGAUUCCUUAAACACCCCUGAAGGUGAAUCUGCUGCUCAAGCUAAAAAGGAUGUAGGAGCUGCAUCUCUGCACAUACAACAUACUGAGGUCUCACUUCGUGCCUCUUCUAGAGAUGCACGCAAUAGUGAGGAGCCACAGGACCCUGAAACCAAACCCAGCACAGAGGGGAUGAAGAACCAGAAGCUUGCUGAGCAGCCAAAACAAGAAGCCCAAUCUGCCAGAGGCAAUCUACAAGGGAUGAGGAAAGCUCAAGCUGAUGAGCAUCCUACUGGUGCCUGUAUACCCCAUGAGCAACCCAGCUGCAGGGAUGAUGAAGUGAGGCCUCUCACUGAGACAACUGUGAAGGCUGAAGUCCACGUGUGUGCAGAAGCCCAAGGUGAGGUUCAGCCUGCUAGAGUGGAGUCCAGGCUGUCAAUCCCUGCAGAAGAAGAUGCAACAGUUCUGUGUGAUUCAGAGGAAACUCGUGAGGGAAAGGAUCAUCAUGAAGUGCCUGUGGAGAAGGCAGCUGAGUCCCCACCUGCUCUGUGUACCAUGCAGGAGUCAGAGCUGCUUUUGAAGGCCAUGGAGACAAGAGAAGACAUCACAAGUAUGCAGAGAGGUGCAGAAAAGCAAGCAGGAGAAGAGAAAGCACACUUUUCUGCUAAAGCCUCACCUGAUCCCCACUUGGAACAUGAUAAAGAGGUUCCUACUCAGGAGUAUGUGGAAGAAAAUGCUUUUGAAUCAGAGCAAGCUGAAGAACAGACUGAGGUUGGUGAUGAUGGACAAACAUCAAAUGAGAUCCCAUGCUGCCAGGCAGAAACCCAGGCUGCUCUGCAGGAUAAGGAGGAGAUCAAAGCCAGCAAUGGGGGAAAACAGCCUGCUGAUGAGGAGUGUUGAAAGAGCACACGGAGCCUGGUGCAGCCACCACUGAGCAGGCUGAGGGUUUGUCUGCAGCAGAGCAAAGAAUCUGCUGCCUUGAUCCUGCAAGGAACCAGAAUGGACAAGUAACCAGUGGCUGCUUGCAUCCUAGUGGGCACAGCGGGCAAGUUGUUUACGAAGCCUGCUUUAGAAAGUGGGACUCAAACAGCAAGCUGGUGCAUAGCCUUCCACAGGUGGCACUGACCCCCUUCUUUCCCUAACAGGGGGGUGGUGAAGGGACACAAGUAUAUUUCAGUACAAGAAGUGUAUUUAUGUAUAUUACUUUUUUCCACAUGCACAUACACCUGAGCAAGGGUUAUAGAGUUUGUAGUUCUCUCCCUCUGUGUAACUACACAGGGUUAAGUCUUUAACAAACAAGCCAGAUUUAUUAAUUACAUGUGUCUGUGCACCUCACUCUGACUGUCACUGUUUGAAGCUAUGUUGUGUGGUCUGCAAUGCAACUGGAACCAAUAAAUGGGCAUGUUUUAAUGCUUGCUGAUACAGAUUGUCUUAUUAAUGCCCAGCUGCUCCAUGGUUUGUGCUAGUUGUGUGCAGGUGGAAGAGUUAGGAGAAGAGCCCUGUGAAAGUGGUUGUUUCCAAAGCAUAACCAUUAAGAGGUGUUUCUAAUGGUCAUUUUGCUGCAAUAAAUGUGUCAGGUUACCGCAUACAUGAUGCUGGUCUCUAAUGUAGUUUUUAAAUGCAGGGAGUCUUCUUGUAAAACCUGAUUAGUUGGGCAGCUGUUGCUUAACUUCAAAAGCAGUGCAGUGCUGAAAAGGACUGGAAAAAGCACACAGCCUAGAUCUUUCCCUUUAAUUUCAACCAAAAAAAUAACAGGACUGCACCAAAUGAUUCUGCUAGAGCUUAUGGGGAAUUAUAAGUGUACUUAGACAGAAAGCUGGAGAGACAGAAUGUAUAGGAGAGUGAGAUUAAUCUUCCCUAAGGAAACCAUUUCCAGCUAUUGUGUUCUUGUGUGCUUCCUAUAUUAACUGUAUUCAUAGAGGGAGGAAAAGAAAAUAGUUAAAGGCAAGUCAGGAUAUGAGGAUUUUGAAAGGCAUGCAUCUAUUUAAAGGAUGAUUGGUUUUACUGUCUUUAUGUGCUUAAUCACAUCAAGAAUAUAGCGUAUCUUUAUGUAUUUCUUUUAAAUCAAAGGAUCAGGCUGGUAUGUAGUGAGUCUAUCAGUUUAAGCCAGCCUUCCUUAAAACAUUUGCCCUUAUGACCAAAGCAGAAUGGAAACACUGGUCAUGGAAAUGUCAGUGGCUCUCACUUAACACAGAGCACGUUCCCUCCCCUUGGCUGUUAUGUAAAAUCCUGAAGGUACCUACAUCAGUUCAUUAUGUUGACAAGCUGCCCUGGGUUGGCUGUAUCUAAUGAACUGCUGCUUAGGUUAGUCUGGAAGAAUGGAUAUGCCCUCUGUACUUAGAAUUAAACAACUCAUGUGUGGGUCUGGAGGCUUCUCUUUGCUGAUGCUGAAAAAGAAACAAAGCCCGCAAAGAGCCACAGAAGCAUCUCUGCAUUGUUCUGCCAGCGUCUUACGUACUUAGAUCGGUAACUAUAAUUAAUUGCCAAGUAUUUUCAGAGGUUGGUAUUAAUCAUCUCUCUGUUCUGUGGCUGCUGAGAGGACUCGUGGCAAUGCAUUUGACAAUGCAGUGCAAAGAAAUGUUGAAAGCAAUGAAAUAUUCAGGAUGAAUAUCACAAUGCUAAGAGAUAAAGGAAUGUUUUUUUUCCUUAUGAACAGUGCUGAACAGCAGGAAGGAAGGAGUUAAAAGGGACAGAUUAAGAUGUGAAGUAGAUGGCAUCCUUGCAUGUACUCCUGCCAAAGGACCGUGGCAGUGAUGGUGAUGUAGGAUUCCUAGGGUGACUUUCUAUCACUGGCUUUGGGUAAGCAGCUCAGAACUUGAAGCAAAGAUCUCUGGUACUGGGAAGAAUAUGUUUGCAUUCUCACAUUAAAGAAUCAUUCAUUUUCAAACUAUGCUUGUCGCUGUAUUUUAUGCUUGUGAUUAAAUUAAUGCUUGCAUCUCACUACUCAACAAGGAGCCACGUAACAGUGAUUCAUCAAUUCACUCCCAUUAUGACUGUUGUUAUUAUGUAGCUGAGACUGAAGGUAUCAGUCUAAUCACAGCAUAAGGUAUGGUUACAUGAUAUUGCUGACAUUCUAAAACAAACAGGUGGUUGGGGUCAAUUUCAAUGCCAACAUACCGAACACUGCAGGCUACAGUUCCACUAUUCCUAAAUCCAAGCCUACAUCACACUGGCUUACAACAUAUCUAUUCCAGU
rnacentral:lncRNA from 1 species